rnacentral:rRNA from 1 species
CUACGGGUCGCAGCAGUGAGGAAUAUUGCACAAUGGGGGGAACCCUGAUGCAGCAACGCCGCGUGGAGGAUGACGCGUUUCGGUGUGUAAACUCCUUUUAUAUGUCAAGAAAAUGACGGUAGCAUAUGAAUAAGCACCGGCUAACUCCGUGCCAGCAGCCGCGGUAAUACGGAGGGUGCAAGCGUUACUCGGAAUCACUGGGCGUAAAGGACGCGUAGGCGGGUUGGAAAGUCAGGUGUGAAAUCCUACAGCUUAACUGUAGAACUGCACUUGAAACUUCUAAUCUAGAGUAUGGGAGGGGGGGAUGGAAUUAGUGGUGUAGGGGUAACAUCCGUAGAUAUCACUAGGAAUACCUAAAGCGAAGGCGAUCUCCUGGAACAUUACUGACGCUAAGGCGUGAAAGCGUGGGGAGCAAACAGGAUUAGAUACCCUAGUAGUC